rnacentral:lncRNA from 1 species
GUGGGUAUGGUUGUCCUGCGAGAGAACGUUCUGUGCUGGUGAUUUGGUCCUGUCAGGUGCUGGUGGGUCCUGAUUCUGUGCUGUUGGGUUUGUUUACAUUGUAUCAGAACGGCAAUAAAACGACUGUUUUGUUGCUUAAUUUUUCUCUGAUGCGUCAUAAGUACCAUGCAAAGUAUAUUACAACAAUAUUAUAUUGCAAAAGUCGUGCAAGUUCGUUAAACCGAAUUGUCCUGACGCUGUGCU